rnacentral:lncRNA from 1 species
GGGAUUUCUCCCCACUCUCAGAAAGACCUUUGCCUGGAUGAAUGGACCGCUGGAGCGCAGUGUCUCACAGGAGCAGAACUGACCCGGCAAUGGUCACCGUCUCGGGCCCUGGAGGACAAUCCCUUUGAGCCGCCCGGGAAGGAGAGUAUCCAGACCGGCUGGUCUGAGGCAGGCAGCCCAGGGUUGCAUGGUGCCCGGUCACCCCUCCAGGCUCGAAGAUGACAUUGAUGAGAUGAGGAUCUACUACAUCUUGAAUGAAGGCAGCAAGGCAACUAAAGACAUCUUCUACUUCUCUGCUGAAGACAAUGCUGUGCCUUCUUCGACCAGUGCCAUUCCUAGUACAGAGUCACGCAAUCCUGGGCCUGCUGUUUAUGCAUCACAAUGAGGUUUGUUGAUGUUUUAAAACAGUUUUUCUCUGGAGUCACUG